GAUGAAGAACGUAGCGAAAUGCGAUAAGUAAUGUGAAUUGCAGAAUUCAGUGAAUCAUCGAAUCUUUGAACGCACAUUGCGCCCGCCAGUAUUCUGGCGGGCAUGCCUGUUCGAGCGUCAUUACAACCCUCAGGCCCCCGGGCCUGGCGUUGGGGAUCGGCGGAAGCCCCCUGCGGGCACAACGCCGUCCCCCAAAUACAGUGGCGGUCCCGCCGCAGCUUCCAUUGCGUAGUAGCUAACACCUCGCAACUGGAGAGCGGCGCGGCCACGCCGUAAAACACCCAACUUCUGAAUGUUGACCUCGAAUCAGGUAGGAAUACCCGCUGAACUUAAGCAUAUCAUAGCGGAGGA
rnacentral:misc_RNA from 1 species